CUGCUUGCUGCCCCAGGUCCCACAAUUAUCCCACCGCGUAGCGCCCAGACGGGCAAGUGGGGGGCACAUAGCGGACCCAAGGAGAGACCACCUUUGGCAAGCUGGACCUGCACCUGAGGCCUGGCCCUGUAAUCCGAACACUCACUGGAUAGAAAAUAGUGCUCACAGCUCCCACCCCCAGGAAGUCUAGAGACUUUUCUCACAGCAUGCUUUGGAAAACCUCCCAAUUUGUUCUCCUAAGGAAAGGAAUCUGAGGAACCGAGAGAUGGAGCAGGAAGAAAGGAAACAAACAUCUGAGAAAAAGAGUAAAUAUGGGAGUAAGAGUUUUUAAAAAAAACAGUGAAAAAUCUAUGAAGAAAGUACAAGAGGGCAAAGUCCAGCUUAGAAGAAACAAGCUAUGACAUGAAGGAUUUUAGAGGGAAAAACAGGUCCCCUUUUCAAAAGAUCGUGUUAAUGGAGUAGCUGCCUAAAAUAACUCACAGAAGGAAAAGAAAAGAUAUCAAAAUACAAAGAAGUUUCACACGGAAAAAAAUGCCUUGUAUUUUUACCCAACAAAAAACGUAGAUGUGAGUGAAACUUUGUUCUUUGAAGUCCCAUAAAUCCCUUCAAAAUAUUUUUUAAUAAAAAAAUUUUAAUUUAAAGUA